ACCCGUUGAUCCUGCGGGAGGUUGCUGCUAUUGGGGUUCGAUUUAGCCAUGCAAGUCCUGGCCAUCUUCGGAUGACCGGCGAAAUGCUCAGUAACACGUUGUCAACUUACCUUAUGGUCAGGGAUAACCUCGGGAAACCGAGGAUAACACCUGAUACAGGCAAGAUACUGGAAUGUACAUGCCUUGAAACGUCAGGCCAUAAGAUGGGACAGCGGCGGAUUAGGCUGUUGGCGGGGUAAUGGCCCACCAAACCAAAGAUCCGUAGGGGCCGUGAGAGCGGGAGCCCCGAGAGGGACACUUAGAUACUGGUCCCAGCCCCACGGGGUGCAGCAGGCGUGUAACUUCUACAAUGCACGCAAGUGUGAUAGAGGAACCCCAAGUGCUCUACUUUGUAGGGCUUUUGCUACGUGUAAAAAGCUUAGCGAAUAAGUGGUGGGAAAGACUGGUGCCAGCCGCCGCGGUAACACCAGCGCCACGAGUGGCAACCGCGUUUAUUGGGCCUAAAGCGUUCGUAGCCGGUUUGGUAAAUCCUUUGUGAAAUCUCUGCGCUUAACGUAGAGGCUUGCAAGGGACACUGCCAGACUAGGGACCGGGAGGAGUCAGAGGUAUGGGUAGGGGAGCGGUAAAAUGCUAUAAUCCUACCUAGACCACCUAUGGCGAAGGCAUCUGACUAGAACGGCUCCGACGGUGAGGAACGAAAGCCAGGGGAGCGAUCCGGAUUAGAUACCCGAGUAGUCCUGGCCGUAAACGCUGCGAGUUAGGUGUUGCGUAUUCUCCGUGAAUACGCAGUGUCGAAGCGAAGGCGCUAAACUCGCCGCCUGGGAAGUACGGUCGCAAGACUGAAACUUAAAGGAAUUGGCGGGGGAGCACUACAAGGGGUGCGGCGUGCGGUUUAAUCUAACUCAACGCAGAGAAUCUCACCAGAAGCGACGGCAGGAUGAAGGUCAGUCUAAAGGGCUUACCAGACGAGCCGAGAGGUAGUGCAUGGCCGUCGUCAGCUCGUGCCGUAAGGUGUCCUGUUAAGUCAGGUAACGAGCGAGACCUGUGCCUAUAGUUGCCAGCAACCGAUUCACGGGAUUGGGCACACUAUGGGAACUGCCCUGGAAACAGGGAGGAAGGCGCAGGCUACGGUAGGUCUGUAUGCUCCGAAUCUUCUGGGCUACACGCGCGCAACAAUGGUAGGGACAAAGGGACACGACUCCGAAAGGAGAAGUCAAACCUCUAAACCCUAUCUUAGUCCAGAUUGAGGAUUGUAACUCAUCCUCAUGACGAUGGAAUCCCUAGUAAUCGGGUGUUAUCAUCGCCCGGUGAAUAUGUCCCUGCUCCUUGCACACACCGCCCGUCAAACCACUCGAGCAGGGUCUAGGUGAGCUUUAGCUUAUUGGUUAAAGCGAAUCUAGGCUCAGUGAGAUGGGUUAAGUCGUCACAAGGUA
rnacentral:rRNA from 1 species